rnacentral:rRNA from 1 species
AGUCACGAGUUUGAUCAUGGCUCAGAUUGAACGCUGGCGGAAUGCUUUACACAUGCAAGUCGAACGGUAGAGGGGGCAACCCCUUGAGAGUGGCGAACGGGUGAGUAAUAUAUCGGAACGUGCCCAGUCGUGGGGGAUAACGUAGCGAAAGUUACGCUAAUACCGCAUACGAUCUAAGGAUGAAAGCGGGGGAUCGCAAGACCUCGCGCGAUUGGAGCGGCCGAUAUCAGAUUAGGUAGUUGGUGGGGUAAAGGCUCACCAAGCCAACGAUCUGUAGCUGGUCUGAGAGGACGACCAGCCACACUGGAACUGAGACACGGUCCAGACUCCUACGGGAGGCAGCAGUGGGGAAUUUUGGACAAUGGACGCAAGUCUGAUCCAGCCAUUCCGCGUGCAGGAUGAAGGCCCUCGGGUUGUAAACUGCUUUUGUACGGAACGAAAAGGUUUCUAUUAAUACUAGGAGCUCAUGACGGUACCGUAAGAAUAAGCACCGGCUAACUACGUG